UACAGAGGGUGCAAGCGUUGUUCGGAAUUAUUGGGCGUAAAGGGAGUGUAGGCGGUUUGGUAAGUCUUCUGUGAAAUCUACGGGCUUAGCCUGUAACGUGCAGAGGAAACUACCGAGCUUGAGUGUCGGAGAGGAUAGGGGAAUACCCAGUGUAGAGGUGAAAUUCGUAGAGAUUGGGUGGAACACCAGAGGCGAAGGCGGCGACCUGGACAGUUACUGACACUCAACUGCGAAAGCGUGGGGAGCAAACAGG
rnacentral:rRNA from 1 species